CCUACGUGAGGCAGCAGUGGGGAAUUUUGCGCAAUGCUCGUAAGAGUGACACAUCGACGCCGCGUGAAUGCCGAGGCCUUCGGGUCGUAAAGUUCUUUCGACAGGGAAGAAAAUGCAUAUAAGUAACUGUGUAUGUAUUGACGGUACCUGUAUAAGCAGCUCCGGCUAACUCCGUGCCAGCAGCCGCGGUAAUACGGAGGGGGCGAGCGUUGUUCGGAGUGACUGGGCUUAAAGGGCACGUAGGCUGUGUUGUAAGUCAUUAGUCAAAGAUUAGAGCUCAACUUUAGUAAGGCUAGUGAUACUAUAAUACUAGAGUAUCAGAGAGGAUUGCAGAAUGCCUGGUGUAGCGGUGAAAUGCGUAGAUAUCAGGAGGAAUACCGUUAGCGAAGGCGGCAAUCUGGCUGGAAACUGACGCUGAGGUGCGAAAGCGUGGGUAGCAAACAGGAUUAGAUACCCUUGUAGUC
rnacentral:rRNA from 1 species